CCGUCAGGUAGGGGGCGGCCGCCGCGGGGGCGGCUCCGUCCCCCCUUGCCCACGGACCCGGAACGCUUCGGGGGGCUCUGCCGGCGGUCGGCUCCGCGGGGGGGCCCUGCCAGCUGCCCUGGCGGGUGAGGAGGAGGAGGAGGAGGUGCGAGGCGACGCCAUUGUUAGUCACCCCGCCUCGAGGCGCUGAGCUACCACUGACGGGAAGGUGGGCUUCAGUUGUGAAACACUCGGGUACUGCUGUGAAGAGUCUCAUAGUAAGGAGAGACUGGGAAGUAACGAUUCCUGUAUUUUGUGAAGAGUGAAGUAUUUCAGUGAAGGAAAAAAACAGGGAAUUAAAAAAACUGAAUAGAACAAAAGCAGCACUGUUUGUUAUGAACACAAGCUGAAACUGAAGUCUUGCAAAGAGUGAAAGAGCAUCAAAAGAUAAUCAGACUAUUUUAUGAUGUGUGACAACAGUGACACAAAGAGAUUUAACUAUGUUUAUAUGGCAGUUUUCUAAUACCUGAUUCUGGUUCUGUUGUUCUUCUAACAUAGAGCUUUAAUAAUUUAAAAAAAGAGAAACAUUUCUGUGGUGCUCAUUUCUGUAUGAAGUAUUUUGUCAGGCUAAACUUUCUUCAGUUGUCUGAUACCAUUAAAUGAUUGGACUACUGCUGUGAUAUAUGUUCUCUAUCUUUUCCUGUUAUGUAAAUUUUUUUUUCCCAUUAUGUAAAUAUUUCUUGUACCAAACCUAACAUGUCUUAAGAAUUUUAGUCUUUUUUUAAAAAAAAAGGUCAGUCUUGACAAAAGUUAACAAGCUUUUUGGCCCACAUCUACAUGCGAAUGAUUCCUCUCUCCAAAGUUUGUCAUCAGCUUUUCCCCUUCAUCCAUCACUUAGGUUUCUUGUAGUGUUGGGCUUCAGGGUUUGACACCAAUGAUGAAAGAAGGGAUUUCAGGAAUAUCAUUCUUCAGUUCGUGAGAUUCUGACUCAGCCUGGUGUGAGUUUUCAGUGGAUUAAGUGGAUGUUGAUUCCUGUCAUAUGACUACAGUCAUAAAACUGUAAUCUUGAGCCAUAUCCUGUGAUUUAAGAUAAUAAUUAUUUUUUAACUUUUUUUUUUAAACUUUUAAGAUAGUGACUGUUUAACUAUGAGUAAUGCAUAUUUUAAUUCCAGAACCUAGGUGGUAAUAUUUGGCAAAAAUGGAACCAAAGUGUUUUUCUCCAUAUGGGAAAGUAUUGAGAGAAGUUGUUUCUGUUAAGUCUGGACAUAGUUGUAUGACAGUGUUUUUUGGAUGUUGAUGCUAAUAGAGAAAAUAAAGUAUUUUGGACAUA